rnacentral:rRNA from 1 species
UGGGGAAUAUUGCGCAAUGGGCGAAAGCCUGACGCAGCGACGCCGCGUGAGGGAUGAAGGCCUUCGGGUUGUAAACCUCUUUCAGCAGGGAAGAAGCGCAAGUGACGGUACCUGCAGAAGAAGCACCGGCUAACUACGUGCCAGCAGCCGCGGUAAUACGUAGGGUGCAAGCGUUGUCCGGAAUUAUUGGGCGUAAAGAGCUCGUAGGCGGUCUGUCGCGUCUGGUGUGAAAAUCCAGGGCUUAACCCUGGACCUGCAUCGGGUACGGGCAGACUAGAGUGCGGUAGGGGAGAUCGGAAUUCCUGGUGUAGCGGUGAAAUGCGCAGAUAUCAGGAGGAACACCGGUGGCGAAGGCGGAUCUCUGGGCCGUAACUGACGCUGAGGAGCGAAAGCAUGGGGAGCGAACA